UAACUGGUUAAACUUAAAGCCGAUAUUUUCUAUCGAACUAGUCUAUUUUCUGUUCAGACACAAAGUUUUCUGAUGCUGAUAUUAUGUCAGUGUGUGUUUGUGUGGGGGUCGUGUGAUGUAAUCUUUGAAAGUUUAUGACCGAACCUUUAUUGGGGAGCAACAAGAGAUCUCCCGGAAUCAGUUUGGAUGGAGCAGAGCUGUUAUACUCAAGUCUAUUGCGAAAUUGUCUAAACUGGUAUUAACUAUUCCUGGUAAAUCGCGGAGAAGAGUGGUCUGAACAAAAAAGUCAGCCCGAGACUAGAACCUCCCGCAGCGUAACAAGGAAAUCUUGGAACAAAAGAGACGCCGAGUGGAUCGUGUUGUGCGAUUGGAUAUCAGAGGCAAAGCGAGUAUUGUGUGUACUAUUGCAAAUAUAUAUAUAUCGGAUCUCCACGGUUAGGAUACAGACCACAACGCUUUGGACGUAUCUUUAAAAAAGAGAAAAAUCAGAGACUUUUUGGAUUUGUCUGGGGACAUUUUAAACAUUUUGUGUCAAAUUGGAUUUAAAACAUUUCGGAUACUGGAUACCUAGUUUGAUUUGUCCACAGAGCUUGUUUAAGACGUUUUCACCUCAUUUUAGGGUUUAUUUUUAAUUAAAGGCUUCUUAAAACAUGUAUGAAAAUGUGUAUAUUAUACAAUGAGUCUUAUAUUGUCUGCUCUGACAAAAAUAAAUUAUUAUUUUAGAUCUUA